GUGCCAGCCGCCGCGGUAAGACGAACCGAGCGAACGUUAUUCGGAAUCACUGGGCUUAAAGGGCGCGUAGGCGGGCGAUCAAGUCAGGGGUGAAAGCCCCCAGCUCAACUGGGGAAGUGCCUCUGAUACUGGUCAUCUCGAGGGAGGUAGGGGCGUGCGGAACUUCCGGUGGAGCGGUGAAAUGCGUAGAUAUCGGAAGGAACGUCGGUGGCGAAAGCGGCGCGCUGGACCUCUUCUGACGCUGAGGCGCGAAAGCCAGGGGAGCAAACGGGAUUAGAUACCCCCGUAGUCC
rnacentral:rRNA from 1 species